rnacentral:rRNA from 1 species
UACGUAGGGUGCGAGCGUUGUCCGGAAUUAUUGGGCGUAAAGGGCUCGUAGGCGGUUUGUCGCGUCGGGAGUGAAAUCCACUGGCUUAACUGGUGGCUGCUUUCGAUACGGGCAGACUGGAGGUAUGCAGGGGAGAACGGAAUUCCUGGUGUAGCGGUGAAAUGCGCAGAUAUCAGGAGGAACAGCCGGUGGCGAAGGCGGGUCUCUGGGCAACAACUGACGCUGAGGAGCGAAAGCGUGGGGAGCGAACAGG